rnacentral:rRNA from 1 species
UACGGAGGGGGCUAGCGUUGUUCGGAAUUACUGGGCGUAAAGGGCGCGUAGGCGGCCUUCUAAGUCGAACGUGAAAUCCCCGGGCUCAACCCGGGAACUGCGUCCGAUACUGGGAGGCUUGAAUCCGGGAGAGGGAUGUGGAAUUCCAGGUGUAGCGGUGAAAUGCGUAGAUAUCGGGAGGAAUACCAGCGGCGAAGGCGGCCUUCUGGACGGUGACUGACGCUGAGACGCGAAAGCGUGGGGAGCAAACAGG